rnacentral:rRNA from 1 species
AGUGAACGCUGGCGGUAGGCCUAACACAUGCAAGUCGAACGGCAGCACAGAGGAGCUUGCUCCUUGGGUGGCGAGUGGCGGACGGGUGAGGAAUACAUCGGAAUCUACUCUGUCGUGGGGGAUAACGUAGGGAAACUUACGCUAAUACCGCAUACGACCUACGGGUGAAAGCAGGGGACCUUCGGGCCUUGCGCGAUUGAAUGAGCCGAUGUCGGAUUAGCUAGUUGGCGGGGUAAAGGACCACCAAGGCGAUGAUGCGUAGCUGGUCUGCGAGAAUGAUCAGCCACACUGGAACUGAGAAAAGGUCCAGACUCCUACGGGAGGCAGCAGUGGGGAAUAUUGGACAAUGGGCGCAAGCCUGAUCCAGCCAUACCGCGUGGGUGAAGAAGGCCUUCGGGUUGUAAAGCCCUUUUGUUGGGAAAGAAAUCCAGCUGGCUAAUACCCGGUUGGGAUGACGGUACCCAAAGAAUAAGCACCGGCUAACUUCGUGCCAGCCGCCGCAGUAA